CGUGCCGCCACUCCAGACCGACUAACCGUCGAACGCACCGCAGCGGAGCACGUGUAUCUUACGUAUGACCCACGCGCGUACGAUCGGCUUACGUUAGGGUGAUGGCAGAGAACGAGACGUAACUGACAUGACGUGACGUGACGUGACGUUGAGUAAGGCAGAGAAAAGCCGUAAAGACGUACGACGUGUUGUGUUGAAUGUCUGAUGAUCUAUUAAGUGCGCGGAGAGACGAGAUGGGUUAAUCCACAUUUUUCCCUGCUAUAUAUACUACAAUUAUUACAAACGUACAUGUUUUUCUCGAUUGACGAGUUUUGUAUCUUAAAAAUAUUCCACUACUUUGAUGCAGAAUAGUAUUGCAUU
rnacentral:lncRNA from 13 species